AGCGAACGCUGGCGGCAGGCCUAACACAUGCAAGUCGAACGAACCUUUCGGGGUUAGUGGCGGACGGGUGAGUAACACGUGGGAACGUGCCUUUAGGUUCGGAAUAACUCAGGGAAACUUGUGCUAAUACCGAAUGUGCCCUUCGGGGGAAAGAUUUAUCGCCUUUAGAGCGGCCCGCGUCUGAUUAGCUAGUUGGUUGAGGUAAUGGCUCACCAAGGCGACGAUCAGUAGCUGGUCUGAGAGGAUGAUCAGCCACAUUGGGACUGAGACACGGCCCAAACUCCUACGGGAGGCAGCAGUGGGGAAUCUUGCGCAAUGGGCGAAAGCCUGACGCAGCCAUGCCGCGUGAAUGAUGGAGGUCUUAGGAUUGUAAAAUUCUUUCACCGGGGACGAUAAUGACGGUACCCGGAGAAGAAGCCCCGGCUAACUUCGUG
rnacentral:rRNA from 1 species